rnacentral:rRNA from 1 species
GGACCGAACCGACUAAUGUUGAAAAAUUAGCGGAUGACUUGUGGCUAGGGGUGAAAGGCCAAUCAAACCUGGAGAUAGCUGGUUCUCCCCGAAAGCUAUUUAGGUAGCGCCUCGGACGAAUACUACUGGGGGUAGAGCACUGUUAAGGCUAGGGGGUCAUCCCGACUUACCAACCCUUUGCAAACUCCGAAUACCAGUAAGUACUAUCCGGGAGACACACGGCGGGUGCUAACGUCCGUCGUCAGCCAGGAUGUUGGCUUAGAAGCAGCCAUCAUUUAAAGAAAGCGUAAUAGCUCACUGGUCGAGUCGGCCUGCGCGGAAGAUGUAACGGGGCUAAGUAGUAAACCGAAGCUGCGGCAAUA